rnacentral:rRNA from 1 species
CCUACGGGGGGCAGCAGUGAGGAAUAUUGGUCAAUGGGAGGAAUCCUGAACCAGCCAUGCCGCGUGCAGGACGACGGCUCUACGAGUUGUAAACUGCUUUUGUACCGGGGUAAAAUGCUCUACGAGUAGGGUUUUGCAAGUACGGUACGAAUAAGGAUCGGCUAACUCCGUGCCAGCAGCCGCGGUAAUACGGAGGAUCCGAGCGUUAUCCGGAUUCAUUGGGUUUAAAGGGUGCGUAGGCGGGCUUUUAAGUCAGCGGUAAAAAUUCGGGGCUCAACCCCGUCCGGCCGUUGAAACUGGGGGCCGUGAGUGGGCGAGAAGAAGGCGGAAUGCGUGGUGUAGCGGUGAAAUGCAUAGAUAUCACGCAGAACCCCGAUUGCGAAGGCAGCCUGCCGGAGCCCGACUGACGCUGAGGCACGAAAGUGCGGGGAUCGAACAGGAUUAGAUACCCUGGUAGUC